UACGUAGGGUCCGAGCGUUAAUCGGAAUUACUGGGCGUAAAGCGUGCGCAGGCGGUUUUGUAAGCCAGAUGUGAAAUCCCCGGGCUUAACCUGGGAAUGGCAUUUGGGACUGCAAAGCUGGAGUACGGCAGAGGGAGGUGGAAUUCCACGUGUAGCAGUGAAAUGCGUAGAGAUGUGGAGGAACACCGAUGGCGAAGGCAGCCCCCUGGGGUAACACUGACGCUCAUGCACGAAAGCGUGGGGAGCAAACAGG
rnacentral:rRNA from 1 species